AGGGCGCACGGUGGAUGCCUUGGUACUAGGAGCCGAAGAAGGACGGAACUAACACCGAUAUGCUUUGGGGAGCUGUAAGUAAGCUAAGAUCCAAAGAUUUCCGAAUGGGGGAACCCAACACCUUUCAUAGGGUGUUACCAAUGAGUGAAUACAUAGCUCAUUAGGAGGUACACGCAGGGAACUGAAACAUCUCAUUACCUGCAGGAAGAGAAAGAAAAAUCGAUUCCCUGAGUAGCGGCGAGCGAAACGGGAGGAGCCCAAACCAACGAGCUUGCUUGUUGGGGUUGUAGGACUAGAACGUGAGAAGAAAUCAAGAUAGCAGAAGUGGUCUGGAAAGGCCCAUCAAAGAAGGUGACAAUCCUGUACGCGACAUUUUGAUGAACUCUACUAGCAUCCUGAGUACGGCGGGACACGAGGAAUCCCGUCGGAAUCCGCCAGGACCAUCUGGCAAGGCUAAAUACUACCUAGUGACCGAUAGUGAACCAGUACCGUGAGGGAAAGGUGAAAAGAACCCCGGGAGGGGAGUGAAAGAGUACCUGAAACCGUGUGCUUACAAGUAGUCAGAGCCCGUUAAUGGGUGAUGGCGUGCCUUUUGUAGAAUGAACCGGCGAGUUACGUUUACAUGCGAGGUUAAGAUGAAGAGUCGGAGCCGUAGCGAAAGCGAGUCUGAAUAGGGCGCAUGUAGUAUGUGGACGUAGACCCGAAACCAAGUGAUCUACCCAUGUCCAGGUUGAAGGUGCGGUAAAACGCACUGGAGGACCGAACCAGGGCACGUUGAAAAGUGCUUGGAUGAGGUGUGGGUAGCGGAGAAAUUCCAAUCGAACUUGGAGAUAGCUGGUUCUCUCCGAAAUAGCUUUAGGGCUAGCCUCGGAAUCAAGAAUCGUGGAGGUAGAGCACUGUUUGGACUAGGGGCCCAUCUCGGGUUACCGAAUUCAGAUAAACUCCGAAUGCCAUGUAUUUAUAUCCGGGAGUCAGACUGCGAGUGAUAAGAUCCGUAGUCGAAAGGGAAACAGCCCAGACCACCAGCUAAGGUCCCAAAAUAUCUGUUAAGUGGAAAAGGAUGUGGGGUUGCACAGACAACUAGGAUGUUGGCUUAGAAGCAGCCAUCAUUCAAAGAGUGCGUAAUAGCUCACUAGUCGAGUGACCCUGCGCCGAAAAUGUAACGGGGCUAAACAGAUUACCGAAGCUGUGGAUUGGACCUUAUGGUCCAGUGGUAGGAGAGCGUUCUAAGGGCGGUGAAGCAUGAUCGUAAGGACAUGUGGAGCGCUUAGAAGUGAGAAUGCCGGUAUGAGUAGCGAAAGACGGGUGAGAAUCCCGUCCACCGAAUAACUAAGGUUUCCUGGGGAAGGCUCGUCCUCCCAGGGUUAGUCGGGACCUAAGGCGAGGCCGAUAGGCGUAGUCGAUGGACAACAGGUUGAUAUUCCUGUACUUCUAUAAAUCGUUUGAGCAAUGGAGGGACGCAGGAGGCUAAGAAAAGCGUACGACUGGAAGUGUACGCCCAAGCAGUGAGUCGGCUGAUGAGUCAAAUGCUUAUCACGGAUGCGACAAGCUGUGACGGGGAGGGAAGUUUAGUACCGAAGUUUCUGAUGUCACACUGCCGAGAAAAGCUUCUAGCAAGAUUUAUAGGACCCGUACCGCAAACCGACACAGGUAGUUGAGGAGAGAAUCCUAAGGUGAGCGAGCGAACUCUCGUUAAGGAACUCGGCAAAAUGACCCCGUAACUUCGGGAGAAGGGGUGCUGGAAUUGAAGCCCCAGUAAACGGCGGCCGUAACUAUAACGGUCCUAAGGUAGCGAAAUUCCUUGUCGGGUAAGUUCCGACCCGCACGAAAGGCGUAACGAUCUGGGCACUGUCUCAACGAGAGACUCGGUGAAAUUAUAGUACCUGUGAAGAUGCAGGUUACCCGCGACAGGACGGAAAGACCCCAUGGAGCUUUACUGUAGUUUGAUAUUGAGUGUUUGUGUCACAUGUACAGGAUAGGUAGGAGCUGAAGAAUCCGGGACGCCAGUUUCGGAGGAGGCAACGGUGGGAUACUACCCUUGUGACAUGACCACUCUAACCCGCACCCCUAACCGGGGUGGGAGACAGUGUCAGACGGGCAGUUUGACUGGGGCGGUCGCCUCCUAAAGUGUAACGGAGGCGCCCAAAGGUUCCCUCAGAAUCCUGGGGCUGAAGUCGGUCCCAAGGGUUGGGCUGUUCGCCCAUUAAAGCGGUACGCGAGCUGGGUUCAGAACGUCGUGAGACAGUUCGGUCCCUAUCCGUCGCGGGCGUUGGAAAUUUGAGAGGAGCUGUCCUUAGUACGAGAGGACCGGGAUGGACACACCGCUGGUGUACCAGUUGUUCUGCCAAGAGCAUCGCUGGGUAGCUAUGUGUGGACGGGAUAAACGCUGAAAGCAUCUAAGCGUGAAGCCCCCCUCGAGAUGAGAUUUCCCAUCAUUUU
rnacentral:rRNA from 1 species